GUGUCGUAUCAGGGAGGAGGCAGAGGGUGGCUGUCUUGCAAGGAUGUUGACAUUAAAACGUAAAGCCCAGCCUCAUACAAAACUGACUCCAUUACAGAAGUGGUCUAGAAAUCCCCCAGCAGGAUGUCAGAUCCUGUCUCCAGCACAAGCUCUUGACCACGAGCUAGCUCCCACGUGCUGAUGGCAGCUCUGGGAAUGACCACUCGGGGCCAAGGGGAGUCAAUGGCAGUUUUGCUGGCAGCUCUGCCUGUCUCUCUGUUCUAGACCCCAGGGAAGGCAGGUGAGGAUAUCCGAAGGGAAGCAGAGAACUGUGCUUCCCAACAGCAGGGAAGGCAGGUCCUAGCUUCAGCGUCUUGCCCAGACAGAUCGCUGAUAGACGUGGUCCUGAUAAAGGUUCUCAUAAAAUCGCUGAAGGAGCCCUGUCUGGGCCUGAGCUGCAGUUUGGGCACACUAGAGCCAGAAGUUUGCAGAGCUACUCCAUCGUAUACACAGCGGCACAACAGGGUACCUUUCCAUAAGGUAUAAGCAAGCCUAUCCCAAUGUCAGGAAUACAGCAGGCAGGAAAAUGCAUUCCCAAGCCCCUCUCCUCCCAGCUAACGGACAAGACAGUCAGGUGAAAAGGGAAUCAACACAACCUGUGCCAGGAGCUGCUCUGCCAGGCUGCCAGCCUCCUCCCUGCCCUUGGACAUGGGAUCUAAGAGCAACGUCAAUGUGUGAAUCAGUGACAGGCUGGGAGAGCAGCUGUACAGCUGAACCUCCCGUUCCCAAACAGACUUUACGUCUGCUAGGAACCAACACUUCCGACCUCCUUGCUGACCAACCAAAAGGGCUGGCCACUACACAGAGCUCAGGAACCCCCAGCCCUCACCAGCAGCAAUGCUGCCUGCCAGCCAGGAUCUUGCACACAGGGUAUCUCUACUGGCUUUGAGAGGAACCUUCUUGGGAUACAUCUCCCACUAACUCAGAUUUUCCAGCAAGAAUUAAGCUGUCCUGUUGCUGCCUUUACCACUUACCCAAGCCGAUACCAAGUUUAAUUUGUCAGCUGCCCGAAAGUUGCCAGCAGGGGAGUUGCCCGCAAACAGAAAAACAACAAAAAAGUUAAUGAUCUGGGCUUUUUCUUAAUAAAUAGGCAAACUGGCUAAGCCGGA